GCCGAUGUGGCUCAGUGGAUAGAGCGUCGGCCUGUGGACUGAAGGUCCCGGGUUCAAUUCCAGCCAAGGGCA
rnacentral:tRNA from 1 species